rnacentral:tRNA from 1 species
GGGGUUUUAGCUCAGUGGCAUAAGCACCUGCCUUGCAAGCAGGCAGUGAUGAGUUCAAUACCCA